AUUGAACGCUGGCGGCAGGCCUAACACAUGCAAGUCGAACGAGCGGCGGACGGGUGAGUAAUGUCUGGGAAACUGACUGAUGGGGGGGGAUAACUUCUGGAGACGGUAGCUAAUACCGCACACCAUCAGAUGUGCCCAGAGGGGAUUAGCUAGUAGGUGGGGGAACGGCUAACCUAGGCGACGAUCCCUAGCUGGUCUGAGAGGAUGACCAGCCACACGGGAACGGAGACACGGUCCAGACUCCUACGGGAGGCAGCAGUGGGGCAUAUUGCACAAUGGGGGCAAGCCUGAUGCAGCCAUGCCGCGUGUGUGAAGAAGGCCUUCGGGUUGUAAAGCACUUUCAGCGGGGAGGCGUUACCCGCAGAAGAAGCACCGGCUAACUCCGUGCCAGCAGCCGCGGUAAUAC
rnacentral:rRNA from 1 species